AACGCACCUUGCGCCCUUUGGCUAUUCCGAAGGGCAUGCCUGUUUGAGUAUCAUGAACACCUCAACUCUCGUGGUUUGCUACGAUGAGCUUGGACUGUGGGGGUUUUGCCGGCCUGUGGGGUCGGCUCCUCUCAAAUGGAUCAGCUUCCCAGUGUUUGGUGGAGCCGCAGGUGUGAUAACUAUCUACGCUUGUGGUUUUUCACCGGAUAACCUUCGGUGACGGAGGUUCGCUGGGGCUCAUAAAUGUCUCCCCUCAGAGAAGACAGCUUUUGAACGUUUGAUCUCAAAUCAGGUAGGACUACCCGCUGAACUUAA
rnacentral:misc_RNA from 1 species